UACGUAGGGUGCGAGCGUUGUCCGGAAUUAUUGGGCGUAAAGAGCUCGUAGGCGGUGUGUCACGUCGGCCGUGAAAACCUGCAGCUUAACUGUGGGCGUGCGGUCGAUACGGGCAUCACUGGAGUUCGGCAGGGGAGACUGGAAUUCCUGGUGUAGCGGUGAAAUGCGCAGAUAUCAGGAGGAACACCGGUGGCGAAGGCGGGUCUCUGGGCCGGUACUGACGCUGAGGAGCGAAAGCAUGGGGAGCGAACAGG
rnacentral:rRNA from 1 species